rnacentral:rRNA from 1 species
GGCUCAGAACGAACGCUGGCGGCAUGCCUAACACAUGCAAGUCGAACGAGAUCUUCGGAUCUAGUGGCGCACGGGUGCGUAACGCGUGGGAAUCUGCCUUGGGGUUCGGAAUAACUCCCCGAAAGGGGUGCUAAUACCGGAUGAUGUCGAAAGACCAAAGAUUUAUCGCCCUGAGAUGAGCCCGCGUAGGAUUAGCUAGUUGGUGUGGUAAAGGCGCACCAAGGCGACGAUCCUUAGCUGGUCUGAGAGGAUGAUCAGCCACACUGGGACUGAGACACGGCCCAGACUCCUACGGGAGGCAGCAGUGGGGAAUAUUGGACAAUGGGCGAAAGCCUGAUCCAGCAAUGCCGCGUGAGUGAUGAAGGCCUUAGGGUUGUAAAGCUCUUUUACCCGGGAAGAUAAUGACUGUACCGGGAGAAUAAGCCCCGGCUAACUCCGUGCCAGCAGCCGCGGUAAUACGGAGGGGGCUAGCGUUGUUCGGAAUUACUGGGCGUAAAGCGCACGUAGGCGGCUUUGUAAGUCAGAGGUGAAAGCCUGGAGCUCAACUCCAGAACUGCCUUUGAGACUGCAUCGCUUGAAUCCAGGAGAGGUGAGUGGAAUUCCGAGUGUAGAGGUGAAAUUCGUAGAUAUUCGGAAGAACACCAGUGGCGAAGGCGGCUCACUGGACUGGUAUUGACGCUGAGGUGCGAAAG